UGGGGAAUUUUGGACAAUGGGCGAAAGCCUGAUCCAGCAAUGCCGCGUGUGUGAAGAAGGCCUUCGGGUUGUAAAGCACUUUUGUCCGGAAAGAAAUCCUUGGCUCUAAUACAGUCGGGGGAUGACGGUACCGGAAGAAUAAGCACCGGCUAACUACGUGCCAGCAGCCGCGGUAAUACGUAGGGUGCAAGCGUUAAUCGGAAUUACUGGGCGUAAAGCGUGCGCAGGCGGUUUGCUAAGACCGAUGUGAAAUCCCCGGGCUCAACCUGGGAACUGCAUUGGUGACUGGCAGGCUAGAGUAUGGCAGAGGGGGGUAGAAUUCCACGUGUAGCAGUGAAAUGCGUAGAGAUGUGGAGGAAUACCGAUGGCGAAGGCAGCCCCCUGGGCCAAUACUGACGCUCAUGCACGAAAAGCGUGGGGAGCAAAACAGGAUUAGAUACCCCUGGUAGUCCACGCCCUAAACGAUGUCAACUAGUUGUUGGGGGAUUCAUUUCCUUAGUAACGUAGCUAACGCGUGAAGUUGACCGCCUGGGGAGUACGGUCGCAAGAUUAAAACUUAAAUGAAUUGACGGGGUCAUAGCUGUUUCCU
rnacentral:rRNA from 1 species